UGGAGAUACUAUUAGGACUUGAGACCGGGAGAGGUUAGAGGUACUCCCAGGGUAGAGGUGAAAUUCGUGUAAUCCUGGGAGGACCGCCUGUUGCGAAGGCGUCUAACUGGAACGGUUCUGACGGUGAGGGACGAAAGUUAGGGGCGCGAACCGGAUUAGAUACCCGGGUAGUCCUAAACUGUAAACGAUGCGGACUUGGUGUUGGGUGGCUUUGAGCUGCUUCAGUGCCGAAGGGAAGCUGUUAAGUCCGCCGCCUGGGAAGUACGGUCGCAAGACUGAAACUUAAGGAAUUGGCGGGGGAGCACCACAACGCGUGGAGCCUGACCGGUUUAAUUUGGAUUCAAACGCCGGACAUCUCACCAGAGGCGACAGCUGUAUGAUAGCCAGGUUGAUGACUUUGCUUGACUAGCUGAGUGGUGGUGCAUGG
rnacentral:rRNA from 1 species